GUCUAUGGCCAAACUAGACUGAUUGCACCUGAUCUUGGAAGCUAAGCAGUCCUGCGCCCAGCUAGUACCUGGAUGGGAGACCGCCUGGUCUUUGGGCAGAUGAGAAU
rnacentral:rRNA from 1 species